UACGUAGGGAGCGAGCGUUAAUCGGAAUUACUGGGCGUAAAGCGUGCGUAGGCGGUUGCACAAGCUUGAUGUGAAAGCCCCGGGCUCAACCUGGGAAUGGCAUUGAGGACUGCGUGGCUUGAGUGCGGCAGAGGGAGGUGGAAUUCCAGGUGUAGCAGUGAAAUGCGUAGAGAUCUGGAGGAACACCGAUGGCGAAGGCAGCCUCCUGGGCCGACACUGACGCUGAGGGCACGAAAGCGUGGGGAGCAAACAGG
rnacentral:rRNA from 1 species